rnacentral:rRNA from 1 species
UGGGGAAUAUUGGACAAUGGGGGGAACCCUGAUCCAGCCAUGCCGCGUGUGUGAAGAAGGCCUUAUGGUUGUAAAGCACUUUAAGCGAGGAGGAGGGUACUGGUAUUAAUACUACCAGGUACUGGACGUUACUCGCAGAAUAAGCACCGGCUAACUCUGUCCCAGCAGCCGCGGUAAUACAGAGGGUGCGAGCGUUAAUCGGAUUUACUGGGCGUAAAGCGUGCGUAGGCGGCUAAUUGAGUCGGAUGUGAAAUCCCCGAGCUUAACUUGGGAAUUGCAUUCGAUACUGGUUAGCUAGAGUGUGGGAGAGGAUGGUAGAAUUCCAGGUGUAGCGGUGAAAUGCGUAGAGAUCUGGAGGAAUACCGAUGGCGAAGGCAGCCAUCUGGCCUAACACUGACGCUGAGGUACGAAAGCAUGGGGAGCAAACAGG